rnacentral:tRNA from 1 species
GGAUCUCAUCGGAAAGCAGUUCUAUCGCUGGCAGCGAUGAGGUCAGGGGUUCGAUCCCCCUAGGCUCCACCA